rnacentral:rRNA from 1 species
UACGAAGGGGGCUAGCGUUGUUCGGAAUUACUGGGCGUAAAGCGUGCGCAGGCGGCUUCUCAAGUCAGGGGUGAAAGCCCAGAGCUCAACUCUGGAAUUGCCUUUGAGACUGAGUGGCUUGAGUACGAGAGAGGUGAGUGGAAUUCCCAGUGUAGAGGUGAAAUUCGUAGAUAUUGGGAAGAAACACCGGUGGCGAAGGCGGCUCACUGGCUCGUAACUGACGCUCAUGCACGACAGCCGUGGGGGAUCAAACAGG